rnacentral:rRNA from 1 species
GACGAACGCUGGCGGCGUGCCUAAUACAUGCAAGUCGAGCGCAGGAAAUCAUCCGAACCCUUCGGGGGGAAGUCGACGGAAUGAGCGGCGGACGGGUGAGUAACACGUAAAGAACCUGCCCUCAGGUCUGGGAUAACCACGAGAAAUCGGGGCUAAUACCGGAUGGGUCAUCGGACCGCAUGGUCCGAGGAUGAAAGGCGCUUCGGCGUCGCCUGGGGAUGGCUUUGCGGUGCAUUAGCUAGUUGGUGGGGGAAUGGCCCACCAAGGCGACGAUGCAUAGCCGACAUGGAGGGGAGAGCGGCCAGACUGGGACUGCGACACGGCCCAGACUCCUGCGGGGGGCAGCAGUAGGGAAUCUUCCACAAUGGACGAAAGUCUGAUGGAGCAACGCCGCGUGAACGAUGAAGGCAUUCGGGUCGUAAAGUUCUGUUGUAAGGGAAGAACAAGUGCCGCAGGCAAUGGCGGCACCUUGACGGUACCUUGCGAGAAAGCCACGGCUAACUACGUGCCAGCCGCCGCGGUAAUAC